rnacentral:rRNA from 1 species
AGUCUGCAUGGAGCCGGCCUUGAAAUACCACCCUUUAAUGUUUGAUGUUCUAACGUUGGCCCGUAAUCCGGGUUGCGGACAGUGUCUGGUGGGUAGUUUGACUGGGGCGGUCUCCUCCUAAAGAGUAACGGAGGAGCACGAAGGUUGGCUAAUCCUGGUCGGACAUCAGGAGGUUAGUGCAAUGGCAUAAGCCAGCUUGACUGCGAGCGUGACGGCGCGAGCAGGUGCGAAAGCAGGUCAUAGUGAUCCGGUGGUUCUGAAUGGAAGGGCCAUCGCUCAACGGAUAAAAGGUACUCCGGGGAUAACAGGCUGAUACCGCCCAAGAGUUCAUAUCGACGGCGGUGUUUGGCACCUCGAUGUCGGCUCAUCACAUCCUGGGGCUGAAGUAGGUCCCAAGGGUAUGGCUGUUCGCCAUUUAAAGUGGUACGCGAGCUGGGUUUAGAACGUCGUGAGACAGUUCGGUCCCUAUCUGCCGUGGGCGCUGGAGAACUGAGGGGGGCUGCUCCUAGUACGAGAGGACCGGAGUGGACGCAUCACUGGUGUUCGGGUUGUCAUGCCAAUGGCACUGCCCGGUAGCUAAAUGCGGAAGAGAUAAGUGCUGAAAGCAUCUAAGCACGAAACUUGCCCCGAGAUGAGUUCUCCCUGACUCCUUGAGGGUCCUGAAGGAACGUUGAAGACGACGACGUUGAUAGGCCGGGUGUGUAAGCGCAGCGAUGCGUUGAGCUAACCGGUACUAAUGAACCGUGAGGCUUAACCUUACAACGCCGAAG